CAUAGUGUCAGACACUUCAGAAGACAAACUUAAAAUCUCUCUCUAAAAACAACAUCUCUAAGGUUAGGAGAAAACACGGUGAACUAACCAUCAGACAUGAAAACAGUAUGCUGUAACAGCUUUUAACUGUAAUCCAUAGCUAUAAUUUGCAUUUACGUGCAUGAGAAGAAAGAGAAAGUGUGGACACGAUAACUCCAUGAAAUGUACUGUAAAGAACACACACACACAAUUAAAGAGUGGCUGCCUCUGAAAAGCAUCUAAUCCCUUUGUAAACGGCCAAUGUGGCAUCGAAAUGAGUCAGAAACAUGUAUUCUAGUGUCAAAAUUGAUUACAAAGUGUAAAUAGGAUCACUUUGGUCAUAAAGUCAGUCUCGUCUCAAACAGAGUUUGGAACCUGAGUGUGUCACAAUGAGCUAAUUGAAGGUUGGGUUUGGAUUACAAUUACGUCAACAAUUCAUGCCCCCUUUUACCAAGCGCCACUCGACUCCUAUGAAAAGGACACACCAUCAUGAGGCCUCUGAUAGUGAUCCGAGUUACUGCCCGGUUGACACAGACGGCUUCAUCAACAACAACAGGGCCAGAAUCUGAUCAACGCUGCUAUGGGGCUCUGACAAAGACUUCACCUCUUGCCUGCUCACCAACUGUCGUUGAUGGGGAGAACAGAAUUAGGUCGGUUUAGUCUGACCUGUUCAAACUUCCACAU
rnacentral:lncRNA from 13 species